GAUGUGGGGCUUGAACCCAGUAACCACAAACUCAUGAUCUGAGUCAAAGUCAAGAGUCAGAUAUUUAACCAACUUAGCCACCCAGGUGCCCCUGAUUAUUCUAAAUUGCAACCUUUCCCAGACCUGAUACUUUCAAUUCUUUCUCUCAGAUAUACUUUUUCCAAAGAAUUUUUCAUCUACUCUACUACAUAUUUGAAUUCUAUUUAAAAUCUGUAUUCAUCUUCCCUUGAUAGAAUGCAAACCUAUGUGGGAGGGACUUUUGCAUUAUUCAAUAAUUUAUAUCCAAGGGUAUAAAAGAGUCUGUUACUUAGCAUGUAUUCAAACACAUUUUUUAAGCAAUGUUACCUAGUUCUGGAAAGUCCCAAAAAUAACAGGAUGAGAUUUGAUGGGGACAAGGCUUUAUGACAGUGAAUGUGGGUAAGAGCCAGGGACAGCUGGCUUAGUGCUGCUAAAAUAACCUCAUUAGUAUCUACUGUUGAAAGAAGACCAGAGAAACUUGUGUUAAUGUACUUUAAUAAUCCCAGGUAGGCAUGCAGGGUUUAAGAUGCACACACUGCUUUCAGAUUUUAUUGUCAUAAUUUUGUGACCAAGCUAUUCCUAACUUCAGGGUAUCCAUGGGAAAUUGAACAUAUCCACUCCCUUCUGAAAUCCACUAAGAUUACAGUAAAAAAGUAAAAAUAUUUUUAAUUCACAAGAACAAAGAGAGUGGCAAGAAGAUGACAAAGAGGAUGCACAACAAGAUUUUAGUACCUGGAAAAUGUCUCAGAUGUGUAUAGAGGGAGAAAUCAUAAUUCAUUUGGGUUUCAAGUUUAUCCACUUUGCUAAGUGUCUCCAGGGGAGAAACUGAGAAGAAUGAAGCAAAUUCAUGCUGUAACAAUGUAGAAGGGCCCAAGAAUAAGAGGUAAGAGAGGUGAAGGGAAUUCUGGAAAUUAUCAUAAACAUGAUCUACAGGAAGAUAGUAUUAAGCAACCCAUAGAAGAGCCAGUUCCAGUCAGAACAUGACAGCAAAUGGCGUAGGAUGAUAAGAGGGAUGAUAAAGGAAAAGAUAUAAAUGAAAAUGUGGUGAUAAAUUAAUGAUUGGUAAAUGGAAAGUGAAGGAACUGAAAAGACAAGGCAAUUAUAAAUCUAUGAAAAACAGAGGUUGGAUUAACCCUUCAGCCCCCGAAAUGGUUACGCUAUGAAUAAUGUAAAUAAUUAAUAUUGAGUUUUACAUUGAACAUUAGUCAUCUCGACAAGCUAGGCAGAGGGGGAAGUGUGAUUGAGGAAAGGUGGUAGGAUUUAAUAAGAAAACUAAAUCGUAGUCAGAUGGUGGGAAGUCAGUGAAUAAUAUCUAAAAGUAAAAGAAAACAACAAUGGUAAAGUACAUCAUUUGGAAAUUAGGUCAUAAGUAUCUGAAGCAAAACACUAAAUGAGUUGAAAAUUAUUGCCUCAAGAAAUAGGACUUGGAGAAGGGCUGGCUUUUAUCAUGAGUCUACAGUACUAUUUGACUUUUAAAACUAAAUAUGUGUGUUACUUUAAUUCUCUCUAUAUAUGUAAAUAUAAAUAUAAAAAUAUAUCACUGCCUUCAUUUAACAGAUUAGAAAAUGUGGGUUGUGGAAGGGUAAUUGACUUGCCCAAGACGUGUAGCAAGUCAUUAGCAUGGGAGACUAUAUUACAGACUAGGCAUUUUGAUCUUUCAAUUCCUAUUCCAGGUUUUUUUCCACAAUGAUCCUCUAACUUCAUAAGUGGCUACAAAAAUAAACAUCAGAGAAAAUGGGUUACAGUUAAGUUUAUCUCAAAUAAGUAAUGCUAGGGAGUUUUUGUUCAUAUCCGAUGAGCUUCAUAUGUUAAAAUUCAUCCCAGG